AAGAACCGAGUGUAAUGGAUGCAUAAGGACAGUAAGUCAUCUUUUGAAAGGCUGCUAGAUCUCACCAUUAUUCUUGAGGUCAUACUCUUAAAAUAGUGAGAUUCAUAAUGAAAAUCAAUCAUACACAGCAAGAAACAAAUCCUGACCAUAACUGGGUUACAUUUUAUAAUUCUGAGGGAACUGAAAAGAACAGUUUAAUUUACAACCUAUGUGUCUCCUCCCUACCUCUAUUUAGAGGCAACUAAGUCAAGAAUAAAGAUACUCUAUUAGUAGGUUUAGCCAGCUGAGGCUUUGUUUCUGCUUUUAAUGAUAUAAAUAUCCAGGAGAUUACUAGGCAAGGAUACCAGAUAAGAUCUGACCAGCCACUCACUGACGUGGUGGGUUGAACUGUAGCAAAUAAGAACACACCAAUUUUUUUAGUCUCUUGGCAACCAAUUUUAUUAUGUUUUGACCAGGCAGCUGAUAUGACUCUGUGUGAAUUAACCAAUGAAGUUAUGAUAAAAACAAGAUUAGUGACUGUGAAUAUGGUUUUUCUAGUGUCAGUGAGAGAAAGUAUGUUUAUUUUCAAGGCUGCCUAAUUAAAUGGGUAGAAAUAACUUAAAUAAUCAUCCGCAUCAUCAUAAUAUUAAUAUUAAAGCAAUAUCCACUGGUCCUAAAAUGACAGUUCUGGCUCUAUUACUGGAGAAUCAUAGCCCAGACCAGACUGGGCAUAAGUUGAGAUCCUACCCCAAAAAUAACUAAGUCAUAAAAGGGUUAGAGGUGUGCUCAAGUGGUAAAGUAACCUUCCUAGCACAUUUGAGGCCCAGAGUUCAACACCUAACACCAUCCAAAAAAAAAGGUAGAUACAUGCAUAGUCACAAAAAUGAACAGGAACUCACCAUUCUUUGGACAUUAUCAUGAUUAAUGCAUAAACAUGACCUCUGACUAAGGCUAGUUACAGUGGGGUUUUGGAGCUAGGCAUGGUAGUUCAUACCUCUAAUCCUAAUCUUGGGAGGCAAAGACAGGAGGAUCAUAAAUUAGAGGCCAGUCUUGGCUCCAUAACAAUUCUAAAGCAGUCUAUAUUAGUAAGAGCCUGUCU